CGGUCUCCUUAGUCACAAGAGACGCUACUCUAGACGAGCGAUCAACAUGAGCUAACAAUGGACGGAUGCUCAUCCAUGGUCAAACCUGGCCGAAGGAGGCCUACAACAAGUAUCGAGUCAUCAUCAGAUCAACACCGUAUCCGGGUGUGUCAGCGCAGGAAGUGAUGCAGCAGAUACGAGCAGGAUAUUGCUAAGAUAAGCCAAGUCACUACAAACGAAAAAUGUACAUCACCGUGUAUUAUUUUUGGAACAAGGACCCAUAACAACGGUUUACAUUUGUGAAGCUGAUUCAUAUACUUGAUAUUUUACUUUUGUUAUGAGCAGGAAUACACUGAAUUAGAUUACAGAUAUCCUUAUAACAUCACCAGUAUUUUUGGUGAACUGUGAAACGUUUCGUGUUCGUUGUUCAUAUUUGCUCAUAGUUUUUGUUAAUGUUACAUUAUUCGAGUUAAUAGACAGUUGCGAAGUGCCAGUAAGGUUGCAACUUACAAAACACGCGCAUAUACCAAAAUGACUCAUUAAAAAUAUAUUAGGCCUAAUACUAAUGUCUUACGACAAAUGUAAUUCUAAAGAUAUAAAUAGAAGUAUUUACUUGGAAUACAAAAUAUCCACUACAGUCCCUGAAUUUUCCUGAGAGAAUAAAACAGAAAAGUUCAA